CUAUAGUCUGUACCAUACAAUAUGGCCUAGGUGUGUAGUAGGCUACACCAUUUAGAUUUGUGUAAGUAACACUCUGUUAUAUUCAUGCAAUGGUGAAAUUGUCUAAUGACACAUUUCUCUGAAUGUAUUCCAGUAGUUAAUGGACACAUAACUGUAAACGAAGUUUUAAAGCAUUUCAUGUAGGGUUACAGAGAGUACAUGGACCAAUCUUCAGACUUCAGAUUCCUACGAAAAAUGAAAUGGAAUUUGCUCCCUGUAUGUAAGUGACACUCAAUGGUGGACAUCCUUCAAAGGGAACUUUUAGACUGCAAGCUAAUCUUGGGAAUGAGAACAAAAGAGGAAGAGUAAAUGAAGCUCAGGGGAAGUUGAGUGGUCAGAAGAAGGAAAAGCUCAUGUCUACUCAGCAUAAAUGUGGUAUUUAGAACAAGAUCUGUGAAGGAGGUAAUGUUUGAGCUGGGUACGAAAGAAUGGAGGAAGACUUUGCUUAUACUGUGAUUAGGGGCCAAGUUAUGCCAGACAAAAGCAUGAGGCACAUGCAAAAUGAAGGCAGUGGGAAAGUAGAGGUAUGUUCAAGAAAACAUGUAUUAUAGUUAGGCUGAAGAGUAUAGCCUAGAAAUGGGAAUUGUGAUCUCCCGGGUCUUGCAGGUUUUGGAUGCUGUCUGCCUCUCCCACAUCAUCUCAUAUCACUCUUAGUUUAUCUUACUUAGCUCCAGCCACACCAACUUUCAUUCAAUUCCCAAAGCUACUCAAGCCUUUUGUUGCCUCAGAGGCUUGUACAGAUUCUUCCCUUUACCUGGAACAUUGCCACAAUAUUUGUAGGACUGGCUUUUUCUCCUUUUUUAGGUCUCAUAUGUCCCCUCUUUUGACAGGCCUCCCCUAGUCUUUAUCGCUUUACCCUAUUAUUUCCCUCUAAAGCACCUUCCCCCAUCUGUGAUUGUCCCAUUUAUUUGUUCAUUUUUUCCCUUAAAUUUCAUGAGAAAAGAGACCUUGUUUAUCUUGGUCACGAGUGUAUUCUCAGUAACUAACAUAGGGUCUGGCCCAGAGUGGUUGUUUCAAAAAUAAUUGGUGAUGAACUAAUCAGUUGAUCAAUGAACCAGUUGGCCAACAAUGGGAGUUGAGGCAGAGAGGACAGGCUAGGAGUGCUCUGGGGGGCCAUGAAGUUCAGGUUGAAACUUGGUUUUUAGUCUCUGGAUGAUGGAUAUAUGUGUUUCAUUAGGAGGCAGUUUGAAAAAGACACACAUGUCAUAGACUCAGAUUUCAAUCCAGGGCAUCCAGGAUAUGAAGAGUUAAUCCAAGCCAGAACCUGCUGUAGUUUCCUUUCUACCCACUUAGCAUUCA